rnacentral:rRNA from 1 species
UACGGAGGGGGCAAGCGUUGUUCGGAAUUACUGGGCGUAAAGGGUUCGUAGGUGGCUUGCUAAGUCAGACGUGAAAUCCCUCAGCUUAACUGGAGAACUGCGUCUGAGACUGGCAGGCUUGAGUGCAGGAGAGGAACGCGGAAUUCCAGGUGUAGCGGUGAAAUGCGUAGAUAUCUGGAGGAACACCGGUGGCGAAGGCGGCGUUCUGGACUGCAACUGACACUGAUGAACGAAAGCCAGGGGAGCAAACGGG